rnacentral:SRP_RNA from 1 species
CUGUACUAGAUGGGGAGGUAGCGGUGCCCUGUAACCUGCAAUCCGCUAUAGCAGGAUUGAAUUCCAUCUAAAGGCUUAUUUCUGUAGGCCGCCCUAAUAGUGGUGUUGAUGCUUAGG